UGGCGUACGGGUGAGUAACACGUGGAUCAUCUACCUCUUGGUGGGGAAUAAACCCUGGGAAAACCGGGGCUAAUACCGCAUAAGCCUGCAAAGGGAAAGCAGCAAUGCGCCGAGAGAGGAGUCCGCGGCCGAUUAGCUUGUUGGUAGGGUAAUGGCCUACCAAGGCAAUGAUCGGUAGCCGGCCUGAGAGGGCACACGGCCACACUGGCACUGAAACACGGGCCAG
rnacentral:rRNA from 1 species